rnacentral:rRNA from 1 species
ACAUACACAGGUGCUGCAUGGCUGUCGUCAGCUCGUGCUGUGAAGUGUCGGGUUAAGUCCCUUAACGAGCGAAACCCUUAUCACUAGUUACCAGCGGGUAAAGCCGGGCACUUUAGUGAGACUGCCGUUGUCAAAACGGAGGAAGGUGGGGACGACGUCAAGUCAUCAUGGCCCUUAUGACCAGGGCUACACACGUAC